GGAAGAAGAACUGACGGUACUUGAGGAAUAAGCCACGGCUAAUUCCGUGCCAGCAGCCGCGGUAAUACGGGAGUGGCAAGCGUUAUCCGGAAUUAUUGGGCGUAAAGCGUCCGCAGGCGGUCUUGAAAGUCUGUUGUUAAAGCGUGAGCUCAACUCCAUUUCAGCAAUGGAAACUAGAAGACUAGAGUGUGGUAGGGGCAGAGGGAAUUCCCGGUGUAGCGGUGAAAUGCGUAGAUAUCGGGAAGAACACCAGUGGCGAAGGCGCUCUGCUGGGCCAUAACUGACGCUCAUGGACGAAAGCCAGGGGAGCGAAAGGGAUUAGAUACCCCUGUAGUCCUGGCCGUAAACGAUGAACACUAGGUGUCGGGGGAAUCGACCCCCUCGGUGUCGUAGCCAACGCGUUAAGUGUUCCGCCUGGGGAGUACGCACGCAAGUGUGAAACUCAAAGGAAUUGACGGGGGCCCGCACAAGCGGUGGAGUAUGUGGUUUAAUUCGAUGCAACGCGAAGAACCUUACCAGGGUUUGACAUCCUGCGAAUCUUUUGGAAACAGAAGAGUGCCUUCGGGAGCGCAGAGACAGGUGGUGCAUGGCUGUCGUCAGCUCGUGUCGUGAGAUGUUGGGUUAAGUCCCGCAACGAGCGCAACCCACGUCUUUAGUUGCCAGCAUUCAGUUGGGCACUCUAGAGAGACCGCCGGUGAUAAACCGGAGGAAGGUGUGGAUGACGUCAAGUCAUCAUGCCCCUUACAUCCUGGGCUACACACGUACUACAAUGCUACGGACAGAGGGCAGCAAACUCGCGAGAGCUAGCAAAUCCCAUAAACCGUGGCUCAGUUCAGAUCGUAGGCUGCAACUCGCCUACGUGAAGGAGGAAUCGCUAGUAAUCGCAGGUCAGCAUA
rnacentral:rRNA from 1 species